UACGUAGGGUCCGAGCGUUGUCCGGAAUUACUGGGCGUAAAGAGCUCGUAGGUGGUUUGUCGCGUUGUUCGUGAAAACUCACAGCUCAACUGUGGGCGUGCGGGCGAUACGGGCAGACUAGAGUACUGCAGGGGAGACUGGAAUUCCUGGUGUAGCGGUGGAAUGCGCAGAUAUCAGGAGGAACACCGGUGGCGAAGGCGGGUCUCUGGGCAGUAGCUGACACUGAGGCGCGACAGCGUGGGGAGCAAACGGG
rnacentral:rRNA from 1 species